rnacentral:rRNA from 1 species
GCAUAACGCGAAGAACCUUACCAGGCCUUGACAUGCAGAGAACUUUCCAGAGGUGGAUUGGUGCCUUCGGGAACUCUGAGACAGGUGCUGCAUGGCUGUCGUCAGCUCGUGUUGUGAAAUGUUGGGUUAAGUCCCGCAACGAGCGCAACCCUUAUCCUUUGUUGCCAGCGGUUCGGCCGGGAACUCAAAGGAGACUGCCAGUGAUAAACUGGAGGAAGGUGGGGAUGACGUCAAGUCAUCAUGGCCCUUACGAGUAGGGCUACACACGUGCUACAAUGGCAUAUACAAAGAGAAGCGACCUCGCGAGAGCAAGCGGACCUCAUAAAGUAUGUCGUAGUCCGGAUUGGAGUCUGCAACUCGACUCCAUGAAGUCGGAAUCGCUAGUAAUCGUAGAUCAGAAUGCUACGGUGAAUACGUUCCCGGGUCUUGUACACACCG